GACGAACGCUGGCGGCGUGCUUAACACAUGCAAGUCGAACGGAAAGGCCCUGCUUUUGUGGGGUGCUCGAGUGGCGAACGGGUGAGUAACACGUGAGUAACCUGCCCUUGACUUUGGGAUAACUUCAGGAAACUGGGGCUAAUACCGGAUAGGAGCUCCUGCUGCAUGGUGGGGGUUGGAACGUUUCGGCGGUUGGGGAUGGACUCGCGGCUUAUCAGCUUGUUGGUGGGGUAGUGGCUUACCAAGGCUUUGACGGGUAGCCGGCCUGGGAGGGUGAACGGCGACAUUAGGACUGCGAUACGGCCCAGUCUCCUACGGGAGGCAGCAGUGGGGAAUAUUGCACAAUGGGCGGAAGCCUGAUGCAGCAGCGCCGCGUGCGGGAUGACGGCCUUCGGGUUGUAAACCGCUUUCGCCUGUGACGAAGCGUGAGUGACGGUAAUGGGUGAAGAAGCACCGGCUAACUACGUG
rnacentral:rRNA from 1 species